UACGUAGGGUGCAAGCGUUGUCCGGAAUUAUUGGGCGUAAAGAGCUCGUAGGCGGUCUGUUGCGUCGGCUGUGAAAACCCGCGGCUCAACUGCGGGCUUGCAGCCGAUACGGGCAGGCUAGAGUUCGGUAGGGAGACUGGAAUUCCUGGUGUAGCGGUGAAAUGCGCAGAUAUCAGGGAGGGAAACACCCGGGUGGCGAAAGGGCGGGUCUCUGGGCCGGAUACUGACGCUGAGGAGCGAAAAGCGUGGGA
rnacentral:rRNA from 1 species